UACGUAGGGGGCAAGCGUUGUCCGGAAUCAUUGGGCGUAAAGAGCGCGUAGGCGGCCCGGUAAGUCCGCUGUAAAAGUCCAGGGCUCAACCCUGGAAAGCCGGUGGAAACUGUCGGGCUAGAGUCCGGAAGAGGCGAGUGGAAUUCCCGGUGUAGCGGUGAAAUGCGCAGAUAUCGGGAGGAACACCAAUGGCGAAGGCAGCUCGCUGGGACGUUACUGACGCUGAGGAGCGAAAGUGUGGGGAGCGAACAGG
rnacentral:rRNA from 1 species